rnacentral:rRNA from 1 species
CUCUGUUGUUAGGGAAGAACAAGUGCUAGUUGAAUAAGCUGGCACCUUGACGGUACCUAACCAGAAAGCCACGGCUAACUACGUGCCAGCAGCCGCGGUAAUACGUAGGUGGCAAGCGUUAUCCGGAAUUAUUGGGCGUAAAGCGCGCGCAGGUGGUUUCUUAAGUCUGAUGUGAAAGCCCACGGCUCAACCGUGGAGGGUCAUUGGAAACUGGGAGACUUGAGUGCAGAAGAGGAAAGUGGAAUUCCAUGUGUAGCGGUGAAAUGCGUAGAGAUAUGGAGGAACACCAGUGGCGAAGGCGACUUUCUGGUCUGUAACUGACACUGAGGCGCGAAAGCGUGGGGAGCAAACAGGAUUAGAUACCCUGGUAGUCCACGCCGUAAACGAUGAGUGCUAAGUGUUAGAGGGUUUCCGCCCUUUAGUGCUGAAGUUA